UAUUGGACAAUGGGCGCAAGCCUGAUCCAGCCAUACCGCGUGGGUGAAGAAGGCCUUCGGGUUGUAAAGCCCUUUUGUUGGGAAAGAAAUCCAGCUGGUUAAUACCCGGUUGGGAUGACGGUACCCAAAGAAUAAGCACCGGCUAACUUCGUGCCAGCAGCCGCGGUAAUACGAAGGGUGCAAGCGUUACUCGGAAUUACUGGGCGUAAAGCGUGCGUAGGUGGUCGUUUAAGUCUGUUGUGAAAGCCCUGGGCUCAACCUGGGAACUGCAGUGGAAACUGGACGACUAGAGUGUGGUAGAGGGUAGCGGAAUUCCUGGUGUAGCAGUGAAAUGCGUAGAGAUCAGGAGGAACAUCCAUGGCGAAGGCAGCUACCUGACCAACACGACACUGAGGCACGAAA
rnacentral:rRNA from 1 species